CUGAGGCCAGGGUAGUUCCCUGCCAGCAGCCAGAGAAAAAGGCGCUCCUGGAGUAAUGAUGUGAGGCAGAAGCCUGACUGCAGUUUUGUUUCUAUUACACUACCUUAAUUACCAUGGAGAAGAUUACAAGCAAAGAGUUCUAAAUUCAGAAGAGAAAAAUAAGAAGCAGGCAACAGGAGAACUUAACACAGACUCCAGCAGCCUGUAUACCAAAAGUGAGAGCAGCAAGAAGCACUCCCUGCAUCUCAGAACAAGACUGCCCUUCUCUCCACUUGCUAUGGAAAGGGCUACAGACACCAAACCACAUUUUGAACAGUGUAUAUAGACAAAACAUAUGUAUAGUAUAUUUGGGAGCAGCCUGCCCUGGAUAUACUGCUGCCAUGUUAUAAACAGGUGUUAUAUUGAACACUGUAUUUAGGCAAAAAAUGACCUGCCUGGGAGUUUUCUUAAAUAAAGAAUACAG